CAUGACCCUAGAGACAUUGAAGGUAUAGCUACUGUAUCAUGCAUGCUUCAGUAGGUGGCAGAGGGGAGAGAAGCUAUGUCUAUGCUCAGUGUUCUGAUCUGUGAACAUCUGAAUGAAUAGUACAUUCCCCAA